UCGGAGAAAAAAAAGUUCCGAAAAGUGAAAACAAGACGGUGGGAGAAAUUCCACGUAAGGACAAACGGAGAUGACGCAAAGGGUCACUGGGUCAACGGAACACACACACAUAUACACACGAGGGGUCACACGAUUUCCUCGUUUUGACCACCACAAAACUUUUUUUCUAGUCGAAUUUAGAGAUGAGAGCCACUGGUCAACAGCCA
ensembl:ncRNA C35A11.7 ncRNA